rnacentral:rRNA from 1 species
CAGCAGCAGCCGCGGUAAUACCAGCACCUCGAGUGGUCAGGAGGUUUAUUGGGCCUAAAGCAUCCGUAGCCGGUUGCAUAAGUUUUCGGUUAAAUCUAUGCGCUUAACGUAUAGGCCGCCGAAAAUACUGUGCAGCUAGGGAGUGGGAGAGGUACACGGUACUCGAUAGGAAGGGGUAAAAUCCUUUGAUCUAUUGAUGACCACCUGUGGCGAAGGCGGUGUACCAGAACACGUUCGACGGUGAGGGAUGAAAGUUGGGGGAGCAAACCGGAUUAGAGACCCGCGUAGUCCCUGUCUCUUAUAA